GACGAACGCUGGCGGCGUGCUUAAAACAUGCAAGUCGAACGAAGUGGCGACCGGGUGAGUAACGCGUAAUCAACCUGCCCUUCAGAGGGGGACAACAGUUGGAAACGACUGCUAAUACCGCAUACUGAAGGAGGGGAUUGCGUCGGAUUAGCUCGUUGGAGGGGUAACGGCCCACCAAGGCGAUGAUCAGUAGCCGGUCUGGUAGUGUUAACGGCCACAUUGGGACUGAGACACGGCCCAGACUCCUACGGGAGGCAGCAGUGGUGAAUCUGCCGCAAUGGACGAAAGUCUGACGGAGCAACGCCGCGUGAGUGAUGACGGCUUUCGGGUUGUAAAGCUCUGUUAAUCGGGACGCGGUACCGGAAUAGAAAGCCACGGCUAACUCCGUGCCAGCAGCCGCGGUAAUAC
rnacentral:rRNA from 1 species